GCCGGGGUGGCGGAAUUGGCAUACGCAGGCGAUUUAAAAUCGCUCGUGCUUCGCACAUGCGGGUUCGAGUCCCGCCCCCGGCACUA
rnacentral:tRNA from 1 species